UUGAACGCUGGCGGCAGCUUUAAUACAUGCAAGUCGAGCGAGAAAGUUUCUUCGGAAACGAGUAAAGCGGCGAACGGGUGAGUAACGCGUAGGAAUCUACCAUUCAGCGGGGGAUAGCUCGGGGAAACUCGAAUUAAUACCGCAUACACCCUACGGGGGAAAGAAGGCCUAUCCUUGGAAGCUUUCACUGUUUGAUGAGCCUGCGUGAGAUUAGUUUGUUGGUGAGGUAAUGGCUCACCAAGACUACGAUCUCUAGCUGGUCUGAGAGGACGAUCAGCCACACUGGGACUGAGACACGGCCCAGACUCCUACGGGAGGCAGCAGUAGAGAAUAUUGGACAAUGGGGGCAACCCUGAUCCAGGCAUGCCGCGUGUGUGAAGAAGGCCUUAGGGUUGUAAAGCACUUUAGGUAAGGAAGAAAAGUUAAUAGUUAAUACCUAUUAGCCGUGACAUUACUUACAGAAUAAGGACCGG
rnacentral:rRNA from 1 species